rnacentral:hammerhead_ribozyme from 1 species
AUUCAGUUGACGAGUCCCAAAUAGGACGAAACAUGCGUCCUGGAU